UAAGGCUACUAACCAACAGCACUACAAUAUAUAAUUUAAUAUGUUUUGUUUAAUUAAAAUAUUAAGUUUUGGAAUGUUUUAUGUCAUAAAUUUUCUUUUUCUUUUUUUUUGGGAGGGGGGGGGGCAAGUAGGGGCACCCCAUUGUUGUUUUUGGGUGGAGGGUUGGAGAUGUCACUCUUGCCUGUCUUCAAAACUUGAGAGCCCUGGUUUUAAUAAACUUCUUUGAUGAUGUUGAUAGUAACAUCCGCUCGAAUGACGGGACCCAAAAUAUUCCAGCGGAAUAUUGGUCAGAGCAUCACACUGCCUCCACCAGCUUGCCUUCUUCUUAUAAUACAUUCCAGGUAAAAUGUACAUUGUGUGUGUAUGUGUGUGUUCUUUCCAUAUUUCAGUCCAGGUCUCCCAGUGAAGAGGUUCAGCUGCCGCUUCAUCAGCCAAGCAUUGCCAUUUCCAAUCUAAGAUGACUUCAUCCUUAGGUACACCAGCACAGAACAUGUUUUCUGUCAAGGCCACCGGGAUCCCUACUUUAUCAACAAAAUUUUGGCAUGUCUUUUGUUCCACAAGAGGAAUGGAGGUAUAUCUGAGAAACCUGGCUAGAGCACUUCUCUCUGUUUGACCAAAUCCACUUACCCAUCUGAAAAUGAAGGAGAAACAAUAAUUUUGGUUAAUUUAAUUAACUUUGCUGUUAUUUACCACAUGCAUGUAAAUGUUAUAUAAAAAGUGAGUAAGAAUAAGAAACUAUAGAAUGCAGCCUAUAGCUGUGUUGUGUUUAGAAAACAUUACCCAGUAACCCCAGGUGUAAUUUCAGUAUCUUGUGAAGGCAAACACAAUGGCAUAACAUCAGCAUUGUACAGAAUGGGCUUCUCCAGUUGAAUCAGUGCAAUAUCAUUGUCAUAGUUUGUACCAUCCGGGUUAUUAUACAAGGGGUGAAUGUGUAAAGACUUGACUUGAAGAUGUGAUAAUUUAGAUAAUUUUUGUAUAUUGGUGACUCCGACAUAUACCUGAAAACAGAUAGAAAAACCAAAAUAUGUGAAGUUCACUAGUAUCACUGCUGCUUAUCAUCCGAGUUCUGUUUGAUAAAUGGGAAAAUAUCUGUAAACCUAUGGUGAACUAAUAAUGCAUUAAUCAUAGAACUACAAUAUAAAUUCUGUAAGUUGUUAAUACCCAGUGGUCAGGUGGCUGACAUUAUUUGAGUGCUGUGCUGGUGCAAGGGCACUAAUAGAAGAACUUAAUUUUAUCCACUGAACUACUGCCAUAUGAUUAGCUGAUUGAAAAAGUGUAUAUAACAGGUCCUCGGGUGUUCCUAGUAAAGUGGUAAAUGAGUGUAUACAACAGUGUUCUGUAACCGGUUAGGAACAUUAACCAAAAUUGUUUAGAAGAGUGUGCUUAGAAGUUCUAGGCAGAAUAAGUAUGGACAAAAUAUAAAAAAUAUACAAAAUAUGACAAAAAUAUUAAUUACAUUUCAUUUGCUUUAAUUUUACAUACCAUUUAGCAAAUAUUAAGGAAAGAGAAAUCUGUAUAUGAUACCUAAAUUGAUUUUAACACUAAAGCAAAGGUUUUACAUGAAAGAGCCCAACUCCAAGUGACACAACAUACCUUUAAUUUUGUGGGAUCAUUAAUCUGGUUACUGAUCACAUUUGCUGCUGUUAAGAUCCAUUUCUCUGCUAUGAUAGUUCCCCCUCCAUGUAAGGGGCUUAUAAAGGCAUACCAGGGGAAAGCUCUCUGUGGAGCACGAUGGCCUCCUAAAACCCUCUUAUGACGCUCCAGGCCAACCAGUGGGUGACCACACUCUGAUGAUCAGACAAUUCACCCAUAUGACCAAGACAGUGUUUGCAAAAAACACUUACACACAAACAUAGAGGAGGUACUGAAGGUGAAUGUUAUUGUGAUUCUAUUCACAGUAUUACCUAGGACACAUUUUGGGGUAACGGACAUGACACUGUUUUGGUCAUCUUUCCAUUCCAUAUCUGCAUGGCAUGCGUAGGUUACUGGAGGAAAUCACAUUAAUAAACAAAUAAAUGAAUAAAUGAAGCAACAAAUUACUUUUUAACUGGUAACUGUGGUUCUAUAAAACCUAGUUAAAAAUAAACUAACCUGAUUGAAACCGAGAAGGCAUGUUUCUUUUAAUAGUUGUAAUAAAUUCAUCUCAGUAACAAAACAUACAUCUUACCAUUAUAUGUGGCAGGAAGAACGUAUGGCCUGUUACAGUGCAGCUUGAUAACAGAUUGAUAUUGAUUAUGAGCCCCAGAGAUGAAUAGCACUUCUCCGUUUAGUAAGGGUGGUGGGUUUUUACAAUGGAUGACUAUAAUUCAAAGAGAAAAGGACAUUUUAAUCGCAAAUAUGUUUAUGACUAACUUGCAUCCAAUAUGUGAGAUAAAUGAAAUAAACAGUUGGACUUACUGUGGCACUGAAGAAGAGGUAAACUCCACUGGCCAUUGCUUUGACAAGUUGAUGUGUAAUUAUUGAACAAAGCUCCUUUCUGAAACAAAUAUUAAUUCAAAUUUAUAUAUAUAAAUUGUUUAUGUAAAAUGCAAUCCAUUACCUAGGAAAAAAGUUCAUCUGUUCUUACUACAAUGAUUUUGUAGCCUGUGUCACACUGAGCACUGAUCACAUCUCUGUAGUAGUACGUGGAAUGCACUGGGAUAAUCCUCAUGUUUGUGCCUUUUGGAGACUCACACUUAAUCCCUGGGGAACAUUACACAAAACAACAAUAAACAAAUCACUCUAAAGAAGUAAGGACAAAUAAGAGUUUAUAUUUAUCUAGAAUGUGUGAUCCCCAUAACGCAUGGGUUUGGAACAAAUCGCAGACAUUAUUAUCAAUUUAGGGUAAAAUGUUGGUUCAGCACGCAUAUAACCAUAUUCCAUAUCCAUGCAAAAAUCUAUCGUGAAGCUUUCCCGUAAGAGCACACGGAUGAUGUUGACCUCACUGCCUUUCCACCACACUUCCAUUUUUCCAUUUUCUUUUGUUCCUUUUUCAAAAAUGUCAUAUAAGUUGCAUACUUUACUUCAUAAAGCAUUAAUAAAAAAACGUCUUAGCCUUAGUCCCAUUUAUAGGUACAUGUAUAUGUACUGAUUUUAUUAAGGAGUCAUUUUCUACAUAUUUGAAACAAUACUGAAUCUGUAUUACAAUAAAAUCACACAUUUUCACAUUUAAUGAAGCAUGCGUGAUUUUGCCUUGAUUAAUUAUUUUAAAUGGAUUGUUUUUUCAGUCGUAGCAAUCAUUUUGUUUAAAAAGACUGUUACAUGUGUAGUGAUCAUGUGGGAUGUCAGGAUGUAUACAGUAUUAUUAAAGAAUGUGCUAUCACAA